UUCGCAUGCACACAACAACACCGGGCUUGUGUGCAUGAUCCAUUCAGUGGCGGGGCAGAUAGGGUUGAAUGGCACUCCGUGAUUGGAAUGGUAAGUCCAUUGGUGUUUGUGAACUUGAAAUGAUAAAUCUAUUGUAAACGACUUUGCUGUCAGUACUGAAGCGGACAAGGGGAAUCCGACUGUUUAAUUAAAACAUAGCAUUGUGAUGGCUUGAAAAGGUGUUGAUGCAAUGUGAUUUCUGCCCAGUGCUCUGAAUGUCAAAGUGAUGAAAUUCAAACAAGCGC
rnacentral:misc_RNA from 1 species